CAACGGUCCUUAUGUGCCCCCACAGUCAUGUUAGGAACAGGAGAAGAAUCUCAUCCUAACAUGAGCAAAGUCGAAGGCCCGAUUAUUUAAAGACCGGAUGGAGGGAGAGGCCCUUGCAACGGCCCUUAUGUGCCCCCAUAGUCAUGUUAGGAACAGGAGGAGAACCUUGUCCUAACAUGAGCAAAGUCAAAGGCCUGGUUAUCUAGAGAUCGGAUGAGAGGAGAGGCCCUUGCAAUGGCCCUUACGUGCCCCCACAGCCCUGUUAGGAAUAGGAGGAGAACCUCAUCCUAACAUGAGCUGAAAUUGACUAUGUCGGGAACAGGAGGAGAACCUCGUCUUGACACAAAUGAAGACCCGAUCGAUCAAGACUGGAUGAGGGGGAAAGCCUCCUCAAUGGCUCCUCUACACUCCCAUGAUCCCGUUAAGAGCAGAGGAAAAACUCUCACUCGAACACAAAAAAAAGAGGGGAGAGAAAAAGAAAAAGCAACGAACUACACCAGUGAUAAGGGAAAAGCAAACUACAUCAAAAACUCAAGGGACCUCAUCUCAACGAGAAAGAAAACCCUUGUCGAUAAUCCUCAGUUCCUAAGGGCAAAUCAACACGGCGACGAUCAGGAACCUUCAAACAACAUCGAUAUCGAACAAGACAAAAGACAAGAAGUUUGGUAAACGAUGAUUUAAUGCA
rnacentral:lncRNA from 1 species